CUUCAUUAUGUAACAACUGUGAAAAGGAAGUGAAUGUGACCAAUGGCAUCAUAAGGACUGCAGGGAAAACGCUGACUCAGUGUUUGACGUGAGAAGUUUGUUGAAGUGACCGCUGCAAUACUGUGGUCAUCGUCCUGGGAGACUGCAUGGGCCUGGCUCUCGUGUAUCAGCUGUCGCGUGAAGAACUGAUGAACCCACAGGGAGUGACAGGCCAGAUCCAUGUGGACAUCAGUAGCCUGGGCUCCAAUGAGGACACCCUCCACACCCCUGAAGAGGUCCCCUCACACCGGGACAGUGAUGACGACUAUUUGUAACACACACAACUCGUUUGACUCAUUUGUGAGCACAGGAAACGCAGGAAGUAAAUGUUAAAUGGAGAAGGUGUAGGAUCAAAUUAGCUCAACAUUUCUUCCUGCUCAUUUUCAAACAUGUUCAGUAAAAAAUGUUCAAGUUUUAUUUUCUUUGUUGUGUUUUUUUGGCAUUACAUGUUUGAAAUAAAGCUUUCAU